rnacentral:rRNA from 1 species
UGAACGCUGGCGGCAGGCUUAACACAUGCAAGUCGAGCGGUAACAGGAGAAGCUUGCUUCUCGCUGACGAGCGGCGGACGGGUGAGUAAUACUUAGGAAUCUACCUAGUAGUGGGGGAUAGCUCGGGGAAACUCGAAUUAAUACCGCAUACGACCUACGGGAGAAAGGGGGCAACUUGUUGCUCUCGCUAUUAGAUGAGCCUAAGUCGGAUUAGCUAGAUGGUGGGGUAAAGGCCUACCAUGGCGACGAUCUGUAGCUGGUCUGAGAGGAUGAUCAGCCACACCGGGACUGAGACACGGCCCGGACUCCUACGGGAGGCAGCAGUGGGGAAUAUUGGACAAUGGGGGCAACCCUGAUCCAGCCAUGCCGCGUGUGUGAAGAAGGCCUUUUGGUUGUAAAGCACUUUAAGCAGUGAAGAAGACUCCAUGGUUAAUACCCAUGGACGAUGACAUUAGCUGCAGAAUAAGCACCGGCUAACUCUGUG